rnacentral:rRNA from 1 species
GCCAGCAGCUAUAUCACCCUGAAACUCACAUCUGGCAACCCACUGAAACUAAGCAGGUGUGAAGCUUGUGAGUACCUGGAUGGGAGACCUCCUGGAAAAAGAAGAAGUUUGCUGCUGGAA